UUUUUCUUCGUCAAUUUUAUUAGGAAAUAGCGUAAGGAAAGGGAAUCGCAUUGACCUUUGUUUGUGAAUUCACGGAUCGGUAACUGAUGAGCCCUAAUGAAAUCGCGUCAGUGAAAAUGCGUCAAUCAAAUCAGCCACUACUCUUUAGCUUGAAAAUGAAACUUAUGGCUUCUCUGUAUUUUUGUUUUUUGCCUGGCCAUAUAAGCAGCAAUAUCUGUGGGAGAAACCAUUGAACGGGUAAAUUGCAGAAUCUUUGUCUGACUUCCUGAAGACCACUACCAUGGGCAGAUAUACAGUAACGUUCCUCAUCUUCUUGUUCUGUUUUGCUGUGUACCGCUGCAGCGCUGGAGGAGGAUUAGAUUUCAUGAAUAAUAGAGUUUCUUAUUGCGACCAACAUACCUGCAAUUCCGAUGGCAGUGGCUGUCCAGAUGGCUGCGAGUGUACCGGGCAGCGGACGGCGGAUGGACAACUAUGUGCAAGAAAAUACUGAGACCACUCUACGUGGCAAAAUGAAUGUUAAAUAAACAAUUAAGA